rnacentral:rRNA from 1 species
UUCUGAUGGCGACCGGCGCACGGGUGCGUAACGCGUAUCAAACCUGCCUCAUACUCGGGGAUAGCCUUGCGAAAGUAAGAUUAAUACCCGAUGUUGUUAUGUUACCGCAUGGUGAUAUAACCAAAGAUUUAUCGGUAUGAGAUGGUGAUGCGUCCGAUUAGGUAGUAGGCGGGGUAACGGCCCACCUAGCCUUCGAUCGGUAGGGGUUCUGAGAGGAAGGUCCCCCACACUGGAACUGAGACACGGUCCAGACUCCUACGGGAGGCAGCAGUGAGGAAUAUAGGUCAAUGGACGAAAGUCUGAACCAGCCAAGUAGCGUGCAGGAUGACGGCCCUCUGGGUUGUAAACUGCUUUUAGUUGGGAAUAAAGAAGAGGACGUGUCCUCUAUUGUAUGUACCUUCAGAAAAAGGACCGGCUAAUUCCGUGCCAGCAGCCGCGGUAAUACGGAAGGUCCAGGCGUUAUCCGGAUUUAUUGGGUUUAAAGGGAGCGUAGGCGGAUUAUUAAGUCAGUGGUGAAAGACGGUGGCUCAACCAUCGUUAGCCAUUGAAACUGGUAGUCUUGAGUGCAGACAGGGAUGCUGGAACUCGUGGUGUAGCGGUGAAAUGCUUAGAUAUCACGAUGAACUCCGAUCGCGAAGGCAGGUGUCCGGGCUGCAACUGACGCUGAGGCUCGAAAGUGUGGGUAUCAAACAGGAUUAGAUACCCUGGUAGUCCACACAGUAAACGAUGUAUACUCGCGGUUUGCGAUAGACAGUAAGCCGCCAAGCGAAAGCAUUAAGUAUAC